AGAUUGAACGCUGGCGGCAGGCCUAACACAUGCAAGUCGAGCGGCAGCACGGGUACUUGUACUUGGUGGCGUGCGGCGGACGGGUGAGUAAUGCCUAGGAAUCUGCCUGGUAGUGGGGGAUAACGCUCGGAAACGGACGCUAAUACCGCAUACGUCCUACGGGAGAAAGCAGGGGACCUUCGGGCCUUGCGCUAUCAGAUGAGCCUAGGUCGGAUUAGCUAGUUGGUGAGGUAAUGGCUCACCAAGGCGACGAUCCGUAACUGGUCUGAGAGGAUGAUCAGUCACACUGGAACUGAGACACGGUCCAGACUCCUACGGGAGCAGCAGUGGGAAUAUGGACAAUGGGCGAAAGCCUGAUCCAGCCAUGCCGCGUGUGUAGAAGAAGGUCUUCGGAUUAGUAAAGCUAACUUUAAGGUUGGGAAGGAAGGCAAGUUAAACCGUAAAUACGUUGUGUACUUGACGUUACCGACAGAAUAAGCUACCGGAUAACUCGUGUG
rnacentral:rRNA from 1 species